rnacentral:tRNA from 1 species
ACCCCGAACAUGUUGGUUAAACCCCCUCCUUUACUA